AUACGGAGGGUGCAAGCGUUGUCCGGAUUUAUUGGGUUUAAAGGGUGCGUAGGCGGUGCGCUAAGUCAGUGGUGAAAUCCCGCAGCUCAACUGCGGAACUGCCAUUGAUACUGGCGCACUUGAGUACGGACGAGGUAGGCGGAAUUUAUGGUGUAGCGGUGAAAUGCAUAGAUACCAUAAAGAACACCGAUAGCGAAGGCAGCUUACUAGACCGUAAUUGACGCUCAGGCACGAAAGCGUGGGGAGCGAACAGGAUUAGAAACCCUAGUAGUCC
rnacentral:rRNA from 1 species